GACGAACGCUGGCGGCGUGCCUAAUACAUGCAAGUCGAACGCAGUGGGGACGGGUGAGUAACACGUGGGUAACCUCCCAUCAGAGGGGAUAACACUUGGAAACAGGUGCUAAACCGAUACUGAUGGAUGGACCCGCGGUGCAUUAGCUAGUUGGUGAGGUAUCGGCUCCCCAAGGCCACGAUGCAUAGACGACCUGGAAGUGUGAUCGGCCACACUGGGACUGAGCCACGGCCCAGACUCCUACGGGCGGCAGCAGUAGGGAAUCUUCGGCAAUGGAAGAAAGUCUGACAGAGCAACGCAGCGUGAGUGAAGAAGGUUUUAGGAUCGUAAAACUCUGUUGUUAUAGAAGCGGUAUCUAACCAGAAAGCCACGGCUAACUACGUGCCAGCAGCCGCGGUAAUUC
rnacentral:rRNA from 1 species